CCGCGGGAUUAGAGUUUGAUCCUGGCUCAGGACGAACGCUGGCGGCGUGCUUAACACAUGCAAGUCGAACGAUGAAGACUGGUGCUUGCACUGGUUGGAUUAGUGGCGAACGGGUGAGUAAUACGUGAGUAACCUGCCUUUGACUCUGGGAUAAGCCUGGGAAACUGGGUCUAAUACCGGAUAUGACAAGGAACCGCAUGGUUUUUUGUGGAAAGGGUUUGUACUGGUUUUAGAUGGGCUCACGGCCUAUCAGCUUGUUGGUGGGGUAAUGGCUCACCAAGGCGACGACGGGUAGCCGGCCUGAGAGGGUGACCGGCCACACUGGGACUGAGACACGGCCCAGACUCCUACGGGAGGCAGCAGUGGGGAAUAUUGCACAAUGGGCGCAAGCCUGAUGCAGCGACGCCGCGUGAGGGAUGACGGCCUUCGGGUUGUAAACCUCUUUCAGCAGGGAAGAAGCGAAAGUGACGGUACCUGCAGAAGAAGCGCCGGCUAACUACGUGCCAGCAGCCGCGGUAAUACGUAGGGCGCGAGCGUUGUCCGGAAUUAUUGGGCGUAAAGAGCUUGUAGGCGGUUUGUUGCGUCUGCUGUGAAAGACCGGGGCUUAACCCCGGUAUUGCAGUGGGUACGGGCAGACUAGAGUGCAGUAGGGGAGACUGGAAUUCCUGGUGUAGCGGUGAAAUGCGCAGAUAUCAGGAGGAACACCGAUGGCGAAGGCAGGUCUCUGGGCUGUAACUGACGCUGAGAAGCGAAAGCAUGGGGAGCGAACAGGAUUAGAUACCCUGGUAGUCCAUGCCGU
rnacentral:rRNA from 1 species